UUAUACGCCAUCCUUUCAGCUCACUCCUCAUCCACAAUGAAACCCUCACAUUCGCUGCCGUUUCAGUUCUCAGAUGUAACUGUUGCCUUCCACCACCAUGUUUCAUCAAAGUUUUACAUUACUGUAACAAUUAAAAGGCAUUCCGUCUCUUCAAUUCCCCUCCUUUCUCCUAUAUAUUUCAGUGGCUUCUCCCUCUUGACCCAUACCCAAAAGAGAAGCUGAAAUAAACCCGAUGAUUGCAUGGCAAAGAAUUGCUAGAUAUUCCGCAACGGCAACGGCUCCGGCUAUUCUUCCCGGAGGCGAGCUGAAGAAGACCGAAUCUGGAAGGCCCCCUAAUUGGUCUUGAGAUGCUGUUGAUAAGAAGAGGAAGAUAGAAGCUGAUGCUGCCGAUUCAAGAUAAGAACGAUCAGCUUCGAAGCUCUAGGCUUAUCUCUCAGCUUGGGAGGUUGAAGCUACUAUGGACUUUGUACGUCAUGAGAGCUCCAUUCUUCACCAUGUACACAAGAAUUCCGUCAAUCAUGGGUUUAUCACUGCUGCUCGUGCCAAUCAGUACGGUUGAUCGGUGCUUCUCUACGAACCGGUACGAUCAUCAAAGUUGAUCGGUUUGAAGUUGGGCAAUGCACCAUGUAUACAAGACUACGGAUCAUCCUUUUGUUAUCCGUUUCAUCCCCACCACCACGGUGUCCAAGGUUCCGCUGUUAACGUCACCGCAACUACUCGAGUUGUGGUCUGUUUUCUCCUUGACCCGUAACCUCUAUCUAGACUCCCCUCAGGACCAAGUUCUACGUUGACACCACCAUCCCCGCCAUUGAAACAUUCACAGAGAGGUCCGUCUAGCAUUAAAAACAAUACCUGACUUGGGUGCAGCGAGAGAGGGUUUUACACGUGUUGAAACCAUGGGGGCAUUAAAAAGAAAGAACGUGUGACAAUUGGUGAUUUUCAUACCUACAUGUCCAGCUCACCAGGUCAGUGUAGCUCUAUCAUAUUUUAAAAAAAAAAAUUCUCCAUGUGAAAUCGAGGUCAGUCAUUGAUAGACUUUAGAAAUCCCUAAGUGUGGGAAUCGUAGCUCAAAUGGAAAGCAAGAGGAAGUUGUGGAGAUGGCUUUUGGGAUGUGUAAUAACCAACCUUUUAUAUGGGUCGUUCGACCAGGCUCUAUCAUUGGAUCAGACGGAUAGAGAGUGAAGUCAGUACAAUUGUCUCAGAAAGAUGAUAUAUUGUGAAACGUGCACAGCAGAUAGAAGUACUAAUUAAGACAUCCUGCAGUUGGAGGCUUCUGGAGCCAUUGUGGAUGGAACUCAGCUGGAAGUGAAGUAGAAAGAGGAAAACGUCGAGAGAUCUGAAUAAAGAAGGUGCAGAGAUGAAGAAAGCAUCUUUGAAAAUACCUUCAAUAUAAUCCUUCUUUUGUUUUUUCUUCCUUGGUUAGGUUAUGAUCUUUACCAAGACCGAUUAUUUUCAGAAUUCUGGCUCAGCCGAAGAUUUCUCAAGAAUGUUUAAAUUGAAGCUUAUAUUAUAUAUGUUGCUAUAAAGAAAAGAAGAACCUUGGGGGUGCCAUUCUUGACUUUAUUUUUAAUACAACAUGUAUAUCUGUGUGAUUGAUGCUUUGUGUCUACAUGAUUUCCUUGAAGAUAAUGUUUACAAUACCAGGACUUGAGAAUGUUGGAAAAAGCCGCAAACGCAGUCGUGAGUGAAUGUUGAAAUUUCUAUCAUGUGUUUUGUUGUUUGAAACAUGGUUGUGUUUUUAUUUAUCCUGCAAACUAUAGCUCAUAGGAAAAGAGUUUCUACUUUGAUUUUUUAUUAUUAUGACAUGAUUCUCGCAGAUCAAGAUGUUGUUAUCU